UACGUAGGGUGCAAGCGUUUGUCCGGAAUUAUUGGGCGUAAAGAGCUCGUAGGCGGUUUGUCGCGUCGGCUGUGAAAGCCCGGAGCUCAACUCCGGGUCUGCAGUCGACACGGGCAGACUUGAGUGUUGCAGGGGAGACUGGAAUUCCUGGUGUAGCGGUGAAAUGCGCAGAUAUCAGGAGGAACACCGGUGGCGAAGGCGGGUCUCUGGGCAACAACGUGACGCUGAGGAGCGAAAGCGUGGGGGGCGAACAGG
rnacentral:rRNA from 1 species